AAUAAAUUCCACACUCCUGAUCGCAUGAGCCCAGUAAUUCAAGGCUGUGGUGAGCUAUGAUCAAGCCACUGCACUCCAGCCUGGGCAGCAGAGCAAGACCUGUCUCAAAAAAUACAUACAUACAUAAAUUCCACCCUUUUUGAUAGCAUGUUAUGAGGCUCACCAAGGUCUAUCCUCUGGCAGUAUCCCUGGCCUGUUCUCCCCAUCUCCCCUGCCCUCUGCUCACCAGUUCCCUAAAUGUAUCUUGAUCUCACUAGCCCUACAGACUGUGCACAGAGCUGUUUCUACCUCCAGUGACAUGCUUCCGCCCAGGCUUCUCCCCCUCCCGCCUCAAUCUUCCCCUCACCAACUUAAGGUCUUAGGGGCCCUUCUAGGAGGCAGUCCCCAACUUCCAGAGCCAGGGUAUAGGCUACUUCUAUGUGUCCCAUGGUACUGCCACAGAAGAGUCUCAGCUCUCUCCAGGAUUCAGUUCUAAGGUCAGUGCCUAAGAUAAAAAUGGAGUGUAAUUAAAAUUCCUCUUAGAAAUCUAAGGAAGGUGCCCUAUUGAAGACCAACAUCUUGAGGUCCCAUGUAGUCAUUUCUUGCCCAUGUGGGAACACAUUACUGUUUGGUUGAGUACCAGGUGAAGUGAUUGGCCUGCAGUUAGGGCUGUGUUGUGCAAAAAUCACUUGUUUUGGGGUGUUAGAACCACAUUUAGGCGAGAAGAUCACUUUUGGGGAGCUUGGGAACUGAGGCAGGCCGCAGGUGCAGCAGAGGCAUGAGCUUGCCCGGGCCCGCCCUCUUGUCUAUGCUCAUGGAGUGAAGGAGGGGCCAGCGGAAUGGCCCAAACAACUGAUUUGUUUUUCUUUUUUUAAAUCUUUUUCAGACAAAUACCAUUGUGUUUAAGCGAAAUGUGUGUAUAAUGCCAAAUCACUGUACCCCACAACCCUGCACACCUCUACACUGGACUGUAAUUUCUUGUUCCUAGUUUGUCUUGCUAGACUGUAAGCUCCGUGAGAGCAGGGACCGUGUCUGCUUGUUGAGUGGGCUUUCCCCUGUGCCUGCCAGCAUGCCUGGCAUCUAGCAGGUCUUCUGUAAAGAUGGGAUGAGUUUGUAAACCCUCCAGCCUCAGGAGUGGCUCCAUCCUCUGAGGCUCUGGGGCCCUCUGGCAGGCUAGUCAUUUUUCUGCCAUGUACGUACAAUGCUUUAUUUUCAUGUUGUAUUUUCCUUUCUAGCCAGUAAGCAAGCUCCUAAUGAGCAAGUUUCUUUGUGGUGUUAUCUCUGUAUCCUUUCAUCAGGCCAGCCCAGAGUAAGUAGUGCUUCGAAAGUGUUUGGUAAAUGAAUGAAUUAUGGUAACCCAGCCCAGUUCUGGCAUCACUGUCUGCAGGUUAGUCUAAUUCCAGAUGAAAGCCCCAGAUUCGAAAAAGGGAAGAUUAUUCAGAAGUGCAUAUGGUUGUAUAAGAAAAAAAAAUCUCAUUAAAUAGACCUGAGUAAACUUCAAAUUUUGAUGAUCUGGCCAUGUCGGAGCUGAAGCUUACCAGCUCUCUAAAGCAUUUGCUAGGGAAUCAUGCAGAUGGUCCAAAAUAUUUUUUAGAAAAGCAUUCAUCUGUCCCGGGAUAGAAGUAGAGGAAGCUGGUAGGCAGGCGCUAGACCCUAAAGAAGGACUGCUGAGCCAGUUCUUAAGCCUGUGGUCCUGUCGGUGAGGAAAGUGAGAGCAGUCCAGAGCAGGUGAAAAGAGCAGAGCUCAUUCCUCCAGUGGCUCUUUUGCCUAAAGCAGCAUUCCUCAAACUUCUCACUCGAAGCAUUAAGUUACGGUGAGAUGCUAACACACGCUUUAGACUUAAGUCAAAAUUUACUGUGAAGCCACAGCAAACCAUGGCUUCACAGAUGAAUUAGUUGCUACACAAAUAAGUUCGAUACAUAAGUACAGUAAUUGCUUUUAAACCUUAUAAUAAGCAGUAAAUUAGAAGUUAAACCAUGUUUUUCUUUUACGAACUGAAAGAAGAGAAUGCUUUUGAUACUGAGAAUCGCACACUGUGUCCAGGAAGAUUGUUCUUGCAUAACCAGACCCACAAUAAAUAUCUACAACUUUUCUUACAUGUUUAUAAAAUAAAUCUUAGAAGAAAAA
rnacentral:lncRNA from 1 species